UCCUUGAGCUCGGUGGUGCACUGGAUG
rnacentral:piRNA from 1 species